rnacentral:rRNA from 1 species
UACGUAGGGGGCAAGCGUUGUCCGGAUUUAUUGGGCGUAAAGAGCUCGUAGGUGGUUCGGUAAGUCGGAUGUGAAAUCUCCAGGCUCAACCUGGAGGGGUCAUUCGAUACUGCCGUGACUAGAGUUCGGUAGGGGAGUGUGGAAUUCCUGGUGGAGCGGUGAAAUGCGCAGAUAUCAGGAGGAACACCCGUAGCGAAGGCGGCACUCUGGGCCGAUACUGACACUGAGAAGCGAAAGCAUGGGGAGCGAACAGG